rnacentral:lncRNA from 1 species
AGAAAAUGUCAUGGGGAAAAGCUGGUGGGGUUCAAGGUCAAAGACUGGGCUCACCGCUGAGCCGCCAGGCCCUUCUGCCCCACCCUCUUUCUCCCACAGCUGAGGCUUGUGAACAAAUCUGAACAAAUCUGAGGCAGUAGGCUCCAGGUGAAACCAAGCAACUCUGACUGGGACUUGAAUGCACUUGUCUUUUAGUCAAAAUUGCUCCUCUUGAGUCAGGACUUACUGAAGCUCAGGCUCUCUGUUUGCAGAAAGAGUUCAGUGAGAGACAAACUGAUAGGGAAGAAGUGGAUUUAUUAAAAGAGAUACAUAGUCCACAGACAGAGUGUGCUCCAUCUCAAUGCCCCAGGAUCUGGGAUCGUCUUGGAAAGUGAGAGCGGCCCUGGGAGAAACAUACUGCAAAGACAGAACCCAGACUGUCUCAGAAGGCAGAGAAAGGUGCUACCAAAGCUCCACCCUUGUUGCCCUAUUUCCCACACUGUGGCCCCCACAGAUAAGCUGUUUGGGAUGCAACAGCACCAUCAGCAGGUGGGCUAAAUCAGCUGAACUCUCACCACAGAGUGCUGCUGUUGCUGCAGCAGGAUGCAGAACACAAGGCUACCAUCAACAAAAACAGGGAAGAGCUGUUCUGCCAGAGAGUGACGGAGAGAACUGGAGCUGUAGAUGGGACAGCCGAGCUUCACCAUCGAGUUAAAUACCCGCAGGCAAGUGAACCACACUCUCUUGGUUUCAAUGUGCACAGCAAUGCCUGAGAAAUUAUCUGGCGCAGUCUUUGCUCAAAGGUUGUUUGCUCCCUGUGUUUUUCUUUCCAGAUCAUUACAAGGUCACCCUUACUGCCAGCUUGUACCUGUGGUAUCUUCCAGAACUUUCUGCCUUCACUACACUUGACCUCUAGCCUGAUCACACAGAUAAAGGGCAUUUGAUUCUUCCUUAGUACUUCUCAGAAACACAAACUUCUUACCUGCCCGAAUUCCUGCUGGAAGGGACCUGGUCGUCUAGUCUGUGAUUGUAGCUUAUGAAGGUAAAGAAACAGAACAGGGGUGAGUCAUUUUGGGUCCCAUUUCAGGAGGCAGCCUGGAGUAUAGUCUUUAUGGUCAGGCCUACUUGCCUAAGAUUUCUUUCUCCUGUUCUUUUACUGGUUUGACAUCCGAAUUCUUUUCUAAAGUCUGAUGAAUUACACCAAAGGAAUGACCUCUGCAAACCUUCCUUUCUGGCUCAAAGGCGGGCUGUUUCUAUAACCUGUAUGAUGAUUAGUAAGUGCAUUAGGGGCUGCCUUUCUUUCAUUUCAUGUAAUUUAGGAUUUUGAUAUGCGGAUUCUGCUUACGGGGAGGCCAUAUAUAGCUUUGUAAAACACAUUUGGAAGCAAAAAUGUUGGAAGCCUGGGCCCAUCCACAAGUCUGACUCUGACUGGUAGUUCUCUAAAUACCUAAAUUCCUACUGUAGUAUCUCUCUCUUUAAAACACACACACACACACACACACACACACACAACUAUUUGGCCCCACCAGGUCUUACGUGGGGCACACGGGACCUUCAAUCUUCACUGUGGCAUGCAUAAUCUCUUAGUUGUGGUUUGUGGGAUCUAGUUCCCUGAAAAGGGGUCAAACCUGGGCCCCUUGCAUUGAGAUCAAGGAGUCUCAGACACUGGACUACCAGGGAAGUCCCACCCACUUCUGUGUCUCUUGAUAACAGAUAUGACUGUAAUGGUGACAGGAAGCAAUUGCUGAUUGGUAAAUGGAGAAGUUAUCAUAAAAGGGAAAACAGAGUCUGGAGGUUUUAUUUGAGAUUGGCAUGAAACAGCUAACAGAGUGGUCUCAUGGUAUCAGUGGGCAAGAACUCAAGAAAGUAUCCCAAGCCUCCAGGAGUCAGGUUGGGCCCAGUCUUUUUUCCAUCAUUUCCCAGGACCUCAGGGAGGCCCUAGUGUGGGAGUGGUGGGGGUCCUGAUACCAGGAAUCAAGUCACAUCCUUUUGUAAAACAACCACCGAGGCAGAGGUUAAAGUCUAAUUCUCUUUAGGUUUCUCUUCACCAGGACUGCCAUACAUCCUAGCAGAAUAGCCAGCAAGGGAGAAAUGCUAUGGAGUCAUGUUAGUUAAGGGUGAUGGUAGCAGUGGAAGGUCAGGGGGUGGUUACCACAGAAGGAUUUGUAUGAAACUGAGCCCCUGGGGUUAGCGAUAAAACAGCAAGGUCAUGCAAUGGCAAUAUAUUAAAAUUCUCUUCUGGGCGAGGUGGGGCUAAUAAGAAUGUACUUUUAGAGAUUAUUUUGAAGUGUCUUUAUGUUUUCAGCUACUACUUUUGAUGUUAAUAAUGGAAACUAAAUAUAUCCUUCCUACAUAUGGCUUUCUUCUCUUAGUGCUUUCAGGUUCCUUCUUUAUUUGAAUUUUAUGAUAUACUUCUAAGGCAGGCAGUCUGAUUUUAUAUGAUUCCAUCUUGGCAUCAUUAAUGGAAAUCAUUAAGCUUUGAAGUGAGAUGGGCAAGUGUUUCAAAUUUUAGUUCCUUAUUUACUAGUUGUAUGUCCCUGACCUUGGCAAGCUAUCAGCCCUCUGAAACUCAACUGCAUUUGUUCACUCAGUCUGACUCCUUCUCAUAACUGCCUGAGAGGGUGCUCCAGAGGAUACAAGGAGAUAACCUCUGCAAAAUGCUGGCCACAAUGAGCAAUCAGUAAUUGCUAUUUCCCCUUGUGUGAGACGGCAAAUUCACCUUUGCCCUCUCACAUGCCAGCUGUCAUCAGACUGCACGGUUAGGUUUUUUGUUUUCUGUGUGCUGGCUCUGACACUAGAAUUGAGAUGCAUGAACACCAAAUGAUCACUAGAAACGCUUAAUGGCACUGAGUGUAAUAAAAACCACAAGCCCACUGAAUGUGAUGAAUUAGACUUCUAUUUGUACAGAUGACCUCCCUGAAUCCACAGACCAAAGUUCAUCAAGAUUACUGCGAUCACAUGGAGCCGCACGUUAAAGAGUACAAUCUCACCAAUUAAAAAUUUGUAGGGUGUACACACUGACAGUCUGUCAGCAUCCUGAUAACUUUUUAUUAAUGAGUGUCUCAGACUCAGGGCGCCCUCUCCAUUGUGUAUCUGGGAGAACCUUCCUGUCUUUGGUGUCAUGUAGCCCUAUUUACACACAUACCCGUUUACUCAUGUGGGGGAGAUGGCAGGCAAAGGGAUGCUUAUCAGCCUCUGCAGGAUGGAUGAUCUGCUCCUGGACUUCUGGGCCACAGCUCCUUUCUUGCCUCCUCUGUCUCUGCUCAGUGUCUUUUUCCAGUCCACUUUGCAGAACGUGUGUCCUCUACCAGUUCCCCAGGAUUCUGUCCUCAGUUCCCUUUCUUUUUUUUUAAUUUACUUUUAAAAAAUUCUAUUUAUUUUUAAUUGAAGAAUAAUUGCUUUACAGUAUUGUGUUGGCUUCUG